rnacentral:rRNA from 1 species
AUUGAACGCUGGCGGCAGGCUUAACACAUGCAAGUCGAGCGGAGUGAUGGUGCUUGCACUAUCACUUAGCGGCGGACGGGUGAGUAAUGCUUAGGAAUCUGCCUAUUAGUGGGGGACAACAUCUCGAAAGGGAUGCUAAUACCGCAUACGUCCUACGGGAGAAAGCAGGGGAUCUUUAUGACCUUGCGCUAAUAGAUGAGCCUAAGUCGGAUUAGCUAGUUGGUGGGGUAAAGGCCUACCAAGGCGACGAUCUGUAGCGGGUCUGAGAGGAUGAUCCGCCACACUGGGACUGAGACACGGCCCAGACUCCUACGGGAGGCAGCAGUGGGGAAUAUUGGACAAUGGGGGGAACCCUGAUCCAGCCAUGCCGCGUGUGUGAAGAAGGCCUUAUGGUUGUAAAGCACUUUAAGCGAGGAGGAGGCUUACCUAGUUAAUACCUGGGAUAAGUGGACGUUACUCGCAGAAUAAGCACCGGCUAACUCUGUGCCAGCCGCCGCCGUAA